rnacentral:rRNA from 1 species
UAAAGGUGUCUUGUGGUCUGCCGGCGCACAAUCUAAUUAUUAUUGAGUGAGUGCUCAGAGAAGGUGAAAAGCCUGUGUGAUUGUAGCUGUCAGUAGACCCGAGAUACUGAAGAGUCUAGUUGUUUGAGAGUACAACUUAAAGUUGGUGGUAAAUUUCAUCAAAGGCUAAAUAUAUGAGGGGACUAAUAGCGAACAAGUACCAUGAGGGAAAGUUGAAAAGAACUCUGACGAGAGAGUUCAACAGUACGUGAAACCAUAAUGAGUAAAACAGAUAACUGUGUUGUUAUGCGGUGCGUCCAUCAGCAGCAAACUGAGCGAUGUGCUGCUGCGCCUGUAGGCUGUCUAUUCAGCUGCACGGGCGUAGCGAGCAGAGCACGGAUUUCUGUGGACUUGUGCGCACUCGACCAUUGAGAAACUAUGCUGCGGUGGCAUCGGCGUUCCCCAGUCCGCACCUAGUGCGCAGUGGUGCGUUGGGCCUCUACCGCUGGCGUCGUUUGGCUGUAAGCUGACAGCUGCGGGAUGCUCUUUGCUGAAUGUGUCUGCUUUGUCUGCGAAUCGGUUUAUUCCUUUUCGCGGUGAGUAUGGCGUAGUGGGCAAGCGUUCCGGCAUCAAUGGUAAACAUUAGUUAUUUGACCCGUCUUGAAACACGGACCAAGGAGUUCAAAUGGCACGCGAGUCAUUGGGUUUAAGCACCCGAAGGCGAAGUGAAAUGCAAACGUAUUGUUAGUCGUGGUUGUUCCGCGAUGAAACGAUAAGCUACUCAUGCUU